ACGGCCCUUGGAGAUAUUCAGCACCUUGAAUUGCUUCUAAAAAUGAAGCCCUUCUCCUCCAAGUAUCCAAGUGAUACUAUGCUCCUCUUGAGAUCUGGGAUAUAAUGCAAUCUGUCAAGGUCCACACUCUCUCGUCAAACAUCCUCAGCUUGAUAGAACCUACUUCUACUAUACCACAAGAGCUCCCAUCUCCUAGUAUUACCUGCUACCCCUCACCCAUCUGUGUGUAAGAGGCAAACC
rnacentral:lncRNA from 1 species